rnacentral:rRNA from 1 species
GAUGAACGCUGACAGCAUGCUUAACACAUGCAAGUCAACUGUUGCGGACGUGUGAGUAACGCGUAAACAACUUGCCACACAGCUAUGGACAACAUUUGGAAACGAAUGCUAAUGCCUGAUACUGUGAAAGAGCUUUGGGUCCCAUUAGCUAGUUGGUGAGGUAACGGCUCACCAAGGCGAUGAUGGGUAGCCGGCCUGAGAGGGGGAUCGGCCACAAGGGGACUGGGACACAGCCCGGACGACUACGGGAGGCAGCAGUAGGGAAUAAGGGAGAAAGGACCAAAGUCUGAGACAGCAAUUCUGUGGGAAAGAUGAAGAUUCCGGAAUGUAAAGUGCUUUCAGUUGGGAAACGGUACCAAAAGAAGAAGUGACGGCUAAAUACGUGCCAGCAGCCGCGGUAAUUC